rnacentral:rRNA from 1 species
CCCUUAGAUGUUCUGGGCUGCACGCGCGCUACACUGAUGCACUCAACGAGUUUACGACCUUGCCCGAUAGGGUUGGGUAAUCUUUUUAAAAUGCAUCGUGAUGGGGAUAGAUUAUUGCAAUUAUUAAUCUUCAACGAGGAAUUCCUAGUAAGCGCGAGUCAACAGCUCGUGCUGAUUACGUCCCUGCCCUUUGUACACACCGCCCGUCGCUCCUACCGAUUGAGUGCUCAGGUGAAUAAUUCGGACUGCAGCAAUGUUUGGAUCCCGAACGUUGCAGCGGAAAGUUUAGUGAACCUUAUCACUUAGAGGAAGGAGAAGUCGUAACA